CUAAAAAUGACGAGAUGAGGAGGCCAGGCACUGGUGGAGGGCCCGGGUGAAGGAGUUCACCAUCCCGGAAGGCAUUCUCCUUGAGCAUUUUGGGGAUUCCGCCUCUCUUGCAGGGGUCCCCAAUGCAAUCGACACUGAUGCUCCAGAGGGUACCCUAUUACCCAGUAUCAUAGAUUUGGGCAAGAUUCCAACAGAUGGAGCCACAAGCUUGACAUUUACAUUAGAUGAAAGAGGU